rnacentral:rRNA from 1 species
AUUGAACGCUGGCGGCAUGCUUUACACAUGCAAGUCGAACGGUAACAGGCCGCAAGGUGCUGACGAGUGGCGAACGGGUGAGUAAUGCAUCGGAACGUGCCCAGUCGUGGGGGAUAACGCGGCGAAAGCUGCGCUAAUACCGCAUACGAUCUAUGGAUGAAAGCGGGGGACCGUAAGGCCUCGCGCGAUUGGAGCGGCCGAUGUCAGAUUAGGUAGUUGGUGGGGUAAAGGCUCACCAAGCCGACGAUCUGUAGCUGGUCUGAGAGGACGACCAGCCACACUGGGACUGAGACACGGCCCAGACUCCUACGGGGGGCAGCAGUGGGGAAUUUUGGACAAUGGGCGCAAGCCUGAUCCAGCAAUGCCGCGUGCAGGAAGAAGGCCUUCGGGUUGUAAACUGCUUUUGUACGGAACGAAAAGGCUCUGGUUAAUACCCGGGGCUCAUGACGGUACCGUAAGAAUAAGCACCGGCUAACUACGUGCCAGCAGCCGCCGUAAGAC